UUCUCACGGAUAAGUUCUGUGGACUCACCAAAUGCUUCACCUCCUCUCUUUGCAAAGGAUUGUGAUUCAGUUAGAAGAUUGGGAACGACACACGAUUUGGGGUUUUAGGUUUUGUUCAUGAUUGUGUUCUUGAUGUGCAAACACAAUUUCGCUUGAAUUGUCUUGGCCUUCUGGAGCUAUUCUGAACCUCAAAUCUCCGAAGAAACCAAAAAUCAUUCGUUCACCGAAACCGAAACCCUUGCUCACACCGUCUGGUUCUUCGAGACGAUCUUCUGGGUAUAUAUUUUCGGUUGGGUUAGUCGGCAUAUACACCCUUCUCUGGCAAUCGAACCGUUACAAAGAGGAGUGAAUAUGGAAGAACAAAUCGACGAAACUGAUGGUGACAGAUUCGCCGAUAACAAUCGCAACAUCAAAGUACGGUCGUCGGAAAAAAGGUGUUGACGGUGAUUGGAUUGUGAAAAGAGAUUUCGCCACCUUUUUUUUAAUUUGUUUGACGUGGAUGAAUAUCAAAAUCCUAACGUCUAAUUGUAAGUUAUUCUGCUCUGUUUUUGGAU
rnacentral:lncRNA from 1 species